GUACACGCUGUGACUAGCAUAUCAAUAAGCGGAGGAAAAGAAACUAACAAGGAUUCCCCUAGUAACGGCGAGUGAAGCGGGAAGAGCUCAAAUUUGAAAUCUUAAAGGGUUUCCCUUUACGAAUUGUAGCUUAAAGAAGUGUUUUCUGUUGAGGUUUUGGUAAAAGUUCUUUGGAAUAGGACAUCAUAGAGGGUGAGAAUCCCGUAUUUGACCUUUACUUUCAACUUUGUGAUACACUUUCAAAGAGUCGGAUUGUUUGGGAAUGCAGUCCAAAAUGGGUGGUAAAUUUCAUCUAAAGCUAAAUAUUGGCGAGAGACCGAUAGCGAACAAGUACCGUGAGGGAAAGAUGAAAAGAACUUUGAAAAGAGAGUUAAACAGUACGUGAAAUUGUCAAAAGGGAAGCGUUUGACACCAGUGUUGUUUUUCUGAAAAUCAAUUAAAGAACUGUUUAUGCUAAGUUGUUUAGACUUUAUCAGCUAAUCUGUUUAGUUUUGAGCUUUUCUUUAAUGCACCUUUUCAGUUAACAAGUCAACAUCAAUUUCUUUUGCUGUAAAAAAGCUUGAGGAAGGUGGCUUGAGAUUCGUCUUAAGUGUUUAUAGCCUCUUGCCUAUGCAGUCGGAGAGAUUGAGGUCUGCAGCGUAGAUCCUUCGGGGCUAAAUGCAUUUGUGCUAAGUUAUAGCAUUUUAUAGACAACUUGUUGACUAUGAUUUGUCUUGUAGCUUACUCGCUUAUGUUAUUUUACCUACGCUUAGGAUGUUGAAGAUGUAGCACAUCAU
rnacentral:rRNA from 1 species